rnacentral:tRNA from 1 species
GUGGGUAUAACUCAGUGGUAGAGAUCAUGCUUAGCAUGCAUGAGGUCCUAGGUUCAAUUCCCAGCACUUCCA